CCGUCAAUUCCUUUGAGUUUCAGUCUUGCGACCGUACUUCCCAGGCGGUGGACUUAACAGCUUCCCUUCGGCACUGGGGCAGCUCGAGGCCAUCCCAACACCAAGUCCACAUCGUUUACGGCCAGGACUACCCGGGUAUCUAAUCCGGUUCGCGCCCCUGGCUUUCGUUACUCACCGUCAGGUUCGUUCCAGUUAGACGCCUUCGCCACAGGUGGUCCUCCCAGGAUUAUAGGAUUUCACCCCUACCCUGGGAGUUCCUCUAACCUCUCCCGACCUCAAGUCUGAUAGUAUCUCCAGCAAUUCCCACAGUUAAGCUGUAGGAUUUCACCAGAGACUUAUCAAACCGGCUACGAACGCUUUAGGCCCAAUAAAAACGGCCACCACUUGAGCUGCCAGUGUU
rnacentral:misc_RNA from 1 species